rnacentral:rRNA from 1 species
UGGGGAAUAUUGGACAAUGGGGGAAACCCUUAUCCAGCGACGCCGCGUGAGGGAAGAAGGUUUUCGGAUUGUAAACCUCUGUCAGCGGGGACGAUAAUGACGGUACCCGCGGAGGAAGCCACGGCUAACUACGUGCCAGCAGCCGCGGUAAUACGUAGGUGGCAAGCGUUGUCCGGAAUUACUGGGUGUAAAGGGAGCGUAGGCGGGGUAUCAAGUCAGAAGUGAAAAUUACGGGCUCAACUCGUAACCUGCUUUUGAAACUGAUACUCUUGAGUGAAGUAGAGGCAAGCGGAAUUCCUAGUG